rnacentral:rRNA from 1 species
GAUGAACGCUGGCGGCGUGCCUAAUACAUGCAAGUCGAGCGAACGGACGAGAAGCUUGCUCCUCUGAUGUUAGCGGCGGACGGGUGAGUAACACGUGGAUAACCUACCUAUAAGACUGGGAUAACUUCGGGAAACCGGAGCUAAUACCGGAUGAUAUUUUGAACCGCAUGGUUCAAAAGUGAAAUACGCUCUUGCUGUCAUUUAAAGAUGGAUCCGCGCUGCAUUAGCUAGUUGGUAAGGUAACGGCUUACCAAGGCAACGAUGCAUAGCCGACCUGAGAGGGUGAUCGGCCACACUGGAACUGAGAAACGGUCCAGACUCCUACGGGGGGCAGCAGUAGGGAAUCUUCCGCAAUGGGCGAAAGCCUGACGGAGCAACGCCGCGUGAGUGAUGAAGGUCUUCGGAUCGUAAAACUCUGUUAUUAGGGAAGAACAUAUGUGUAAGUAACUGUGCACAUCUUGACGGUACCUAAUCAGAAAGCCACGGCUAACUACGUG